CUCUGCAUUUAUAGGUGAUCUAGGGAUACCCAUGUCCUGGUCAUUUGUGCAGGCAAAGAAAAUGUGGAAGAAUUGUCCUGUGUUUGGAGGGUCCACGUCCUUCCAUUUUCAGGAGCUUUCCUUCA
ensembl:snoRNA SNORA71 Small nucleolar RNA SNORA71